AGCUUCUUCACCACUGACUGCUUUCACUUCACCAUCAAAGGACACGAAGAGCUGGCUAAGGGCUUGUGGAACAACAUGUUCCAGCCAGAAGGAGGGAAAUCUAUGAUUCAGAGCUUUUCAGAGCCAGUUGAGCUCAUUUGUCCUUCAGAGAGCCAUCCUUACAUCUAUACCAGACCCCCAGCUGUUACAGUCCCAGCCACCAGCACCACCACCGAAUCUCUGGAUUCAGCUGCCAGCACCCUGUCACAGCUCUUCCUGCCUGUCCUAGCCUUGGCCUAUCUCUUCUGAUGGAGCAGUGCUACUGCAUGGACGGCCCACAGUUCAUAGUAGUAUCUCUGACUGCCUCGCAUAGAUUCUAAACAGUCCU